ACUUACCUCGAUCCGCUACAAAACAAAAAGAUGCUCGGGCUACUGAACCAAAGAAUCCUCGCGCUAACCAAUCAAAUACAACCUUAAUUAAUAAUUAGGUCAUAAACCAUAAUCGAGACUUUAAUUGACUAACCUCGACUCCUAGGCUAAAAGACCAUUUUACCCUUCCCUUAAUUGGCCCAAAUAACCAUGGCCCAAACCCAAAAACACCCGAAGCCCAAAAAUGGCCCAAAUCCAUAAAGGACAAAGGCCUAACAAUGGCCUACCUCAUAAAAACUUUUGGCCCAACAAGAGCCUAAAACCUAGAGUCCAAAAGUGGCCCAAUACCAAAAGCCCAAAAUGGCCCCCUGAUGAGUACACUUAGCAUACUACCUAGGUACGCCCAACGUAUAGCUCCGCGACCAAGGACUUACAGGGCCUCAGCUGCGUAUGCUCAACAUACGCUGGAGUACGCCCGGCGUACGCCCCUGCUUGCCAAAACUACAUUAAGAACUUAGUGCUUUAAGUCCAAACAUCCAUUUUGCAAAUCCAGACCUUGCGGAAUUUCUUUAACGUUAAAUUUGCCAACUUGAUGCCUUUGUAUGGCUCAAAGAGACUUAAACCCUAAAUUUAGCAUUCUACUUUUACCAAAUGAGCAUUAACCCAUGCGUGGUUGAUCUACAACCAUCAAGAUGCAAACUUUAUGGGCUACAGACCUCAGAAACAUCAAGAGGGGCAACUUAAAACUUCUAGAGUGACAUUUACUCACUAGAACUCAUUUAUGGGACCAGAAUAUGUCCAAAAAUCCACUAGAUCUAGAUGUAACCAUAAAAUAACCAAGGUUAAGACUUUAUACCACUAUGAACCCAAGGAAGCUGAAUAAACUUUGGAUCUAUAAGCUCCAACUUGAUCAAUGCUCCUUCACCAAGAUUCUUCUUUCUCAAGAUUCACCAAGCACCCACCAAAACACGCACACACAUAUAAGGAUCAAAUCUCUCUAAAAUGGGUUAGGGUUUCGAAAUGAGGCUUAACGGGGAAAUGAAGGUUGGUAAUGAGAGAACCUUGGGACAUAAGGUUGUUUAAAUAGGUUACAAACCCUAAAAAUUAGGGUUUGACCCUUGACCACGUACGCCCAACGUACUCACACAACCUCCAAAUUUUAAUUUAAUGUCAUAAGGGACCAACUUUGCAAACAAUUUUCCUUCUAAGGGUCAAAAUGUAAAAUACCUUGAUUCGAGUGUUACAAUUCUACAAUACUUGAAUCAGACUUCGUCCUUAAAGUCCGCUGCUGUAAACAACUCUGUGUAAUGCUCCCUCAUCUCAUCCUUCUGCUCCCACGUUGAACCCUUUCGGUGCUGCCACUUCACCUGCACGAGAUCCACACCUUGUUUCGUAGAGUCUUCGUCCUCCUGUCAAGGACUGCCACUGGUCUCUCUAUAUAAUUCAGUCCAUCAUCCACCUGAAUGUCAUCCAUUAGAACUACUACGGAAUCGUCAACCAAGCAUUUCCAAAACUGGGAUAAAUGAAAUAUGUUGUGAAUCUGACUGAUUUCCUCGAGUAGAUCCAUACGAUGCACAACCCUACCCACCCGGUCUAAAAUCCUGAAAGGUCCAAUGUACAUUGGGCUCAGCUUACCCCGCUUCCUGAAUCGGAUGACACCUUUCCAAGGUGACACCUUCAGGAGUACCAUGUCCUAACUUGGAACUCUAAGUCCGACCAACGCCUAACAACAUACGCAAACUUACCUCGAUCCGCUACAAAACAAAUAGAUGCUCGGGCUACUGAACCGGAGAAUCCUCGCGCUAACCAACCAAAUACAACCUUAAUUAAUAAUUAGGUCAGAAACCAUAAUCGAGAAUUUAAUUUACUAACCUCGACUCCUAGGUUAAAAGACCAUUUUACCCUUUCCUUAAUUGGCCCAAUUAACCAUGGCCCAAACCCAAAAACACCCAAAGCCCAAAAACGGCCCAAAUCCAUAAAGCACAAAGGCCUUACAAUGGCCUACCUCAUAAAAACAUUCGGCCCAACAAGAGCCUAAAACCUAGAGUCCAAAAGUGGCCCAAUACCAAAAGCCCAAAAUGGCCCCCUGAUGAGUACACUUAGCAUACUACCUAGGUACGCCCAACGNAUGUAUAGCUCGUGACCAAGGACUUACAGGGCCUCAGCUGCGUACGCUCAACAUAUGCUGGAGUACGCCCGGCGUACGCCCCUGCUUGCCAAAACUACAUUAAGAACUUAAUGCUUUAAGUCCAAACAUCCAUUUUGUAGAUCCAGACCUUCGUAAUUUCUUUAACGGUAAAUUUUCCAACUUGAUGCCUUUGUAUGGCUCAAAGAGACUUAAACCCUAGAUUUAGCAUUCUACUUUUACCAAAUGAGCAUGAACCCAUGCAUGGUUGAUCUAAAACCAUCAAGAUGCAAACUUCAUGGGCUACGGACCUCAGAAACAUCAAGAGGGGCAACUCAAAACUUCUAGAGUGACAUUUACUCACUAGAACUCAUUUAUGGGACCAAAAAAUGUCCAAAAAUCCACUAGAUCUAGAUGUAACCAUAAAAUAACCAAGAUCAAAACUUUAUACCACUAUGAACCCAAGGAAGCUGAAUAAACUUUGGAUCUAUAAGCUCCAACUUGUUCAAUGCUCCUUCACCAAGAUUCUUCUUUCUCAAGAUUCACCAAGCACCCACCAAAACACGCACACACAUAUAAGGAUCAAAUCUCUCUAAAAUGGGUUAGGGUUUCGAAAUGAGGCUUAACGGGGAAAUGAAGGUUGGUAAUGAGAGAACCUUGGGACAUAAGGUUGUUUAAAUAGGUUACAAACCCUAAAAAUUAGGGUUUGACCCUUGACCACGUACGCCCAACGUACUCACACAACCUCCAAAUUUUAAUUUAAUGUCAUAAGGGACCAACUUUGCAAACAAUUUUCCUUCUAAGGGUCAAAAUGUAAAAUACCUUGAUUCGAGUGUUACAAUUCUACAAUACUUGAAUCAGACUUCGUCCUUAAAGUCCGCUGCUGUAAACAACUCUGUGUAAUGCUCCCUCAUCUCAUCCUUCUGCUCCCACGUUGAACCCUUUCGGUGCUGCCACUUCACCUGCACGAGAUCCACACCUUGUUUCGUAGAGUCUUCGUCCUCCUGUCAAGGACUGCCACUGGUCUCUCUAUAUAAUUCAGUCCAUCAUCCACCUGAAUGUCAUCCAUUAGAACUACUACGGAAUCGUCAACCAAGCAUUUCCAAAACUGGGAUAAAUGAAAUGUGUUGUGAAUCUGAAUGAUUUCCUCGAGUAGAUCCAUACGAUGCACAACCCUGCCCACCCGGUCUAAAAUCCUGAAAGGUCCAAUGUACAUUGGGCUCAGCUUACCCCGCUUCCUGAAUCGGAUGACACCUUUCCAAGGUGACACCUUCAGGAGUACCAUGUCCUAACUUGGAACUCUAAGUCCGACCAACGCCUAACAACAUACGCAAACUUACCUCGAUCCGCUACAAAACAAAUAGAUGCUCGGGCUACUGAACCGGAGAAUCCUCGCGCUAACCAACCAAAUACAACCUUAAUUAAUAAUUAGGUCAGAAACCAUAAUCGAGAAUUUAAUUUACUAACCUCGACUCCUAGGUUAAAAGACCAUUUUACCCUUUCCUUAAUUGGCCUAAUUAACCAUGGCCCAAACCCAAAAACACCCGAAGCCCAAAAACGGCCCAAAUCCAUAAAGGACAAAGGCCUAACAAUGGCCUACCUCAUAAAAACAUUCGGCCAGACAAGAGCCUAAAACCUAGAGUCCAAAAGUGGCCCAAUACCAAAAGCCCAAAAUGGCCCCCUGAUGAGUACACUUAGCAUACUACCUAGGUACGCCCAAUGUAUAGCUCCGUGACCAAGGACUUACAGGGCCUCAGCUGCGUACGCUCAACAUAUGCUGGAGUACGCCCGGCGUACGCCCCUGCUUGCCAAAACUACAUUAAGAACUUAAUGCUUUAAGUCCAAACAUCCAUUUUGUAGAUCCAGACCUUCGUAAUUUCUUUAACGGUAAAUUUUCCAACUUGAUGCCUUUGUAUGGCUCAAAGAGACUUAAACCCUAGAUUUAGCAUUCUACUUUUACCAAAUGAGCAUGAACCCAUGCAUGGUUGAUCUAAAACCAUCAAGAUGCAAACUUCAUGGGCUACAGACCUCAGAAACAUCAAGAGGGGCAACUCAAAACUUCUAGAGUGACAUUUACUCACUAGAACUCAUUUAUGGGACCAAAAAAUGUCCAAAAAUCCACUAGAUCUAGAUGUAACCAUAAAAUAACCAAGAUCAAAACUUUAUACCACUAUGAACCCAAGGAAGCUGAAUAAACUUUGGAUCUAUAAGCUCCAACUUGUUCAAUGCUCCUUCACCAAGAUUCUUCUUUCUCAAGAUUCACCAAGCACCCACCAAAACACGCACACACAUAUAAGGAUCAAAUCUCUCUAAAAUGGGUUAGGGUUUCGAAAUGAGGCUUAACGGGGAAAUGAAGGUUGGUAAUGAGAGAACCUUGGGACAUAAGGUUGUUUAAAUAGGUUACAAACCCUAAAAAUUAGGGUUUGACCCUUGACCACGUACGCCCAACGUACUCACACAACCUCCAAAUUUUAAUUUAAUGUCAUAAGGGACCAACUUUGCAAACAAUUUUCCUUCCAAGGGUUAAAAUGUAAAAUACCUUGAAUCGAGUGUUACAAUUCUACACUACUUGAAUCAGACUUCGUCCUUAAAGUCCG
rnacentral:lncRNA from 1 species